AAGUCGUAACAAGGUUUCCGUAGGUGAACCUGCGGAAGGAUCAUUAUCAUAACGUAUCCACGUAUAAACCAACUUUAAAUUGAUGUAAAACGUAACUGUUUUAACACCUCGAGAUAAUCAGAUGAUUGCUAUACUUUAACAUUGCUUGCGUGAUUAAAGCAAAAACGGUUUAGUAUGGACCUGUGCCUGUAACAAGGUGCUAGCGCUGAUUAUUUGGAGUGUAAAAAAUUUAAUCAACUAUUAACCCAUUGAACCGAAUUACUAUAUUCUUAACUGAGUUUAGUUAUUCAUUUUAAUUUCUAUUGUGUGAACUGAAUUGUCUACUUACUUGACACCGUCAUUGGUGGAGAGAAGUCGAUUAUAUUUACGAAACAUUAUAAAUUUCUAUGAACAACUCUUAGCAACGGAUAUCUUGGUUCUC
rnacentral:misc_RNA from 1 species